AUCCCAGGAGCUUGCUCCUGGGUGAGAGUGGCGAACGGGUGAGUAAUGCGUGACCGACCUGCCCCAUACACCGGAAUAGCUCCUGGAAACGGGUGGUAAUGCCGGAUGCUCCAGUUGGAUGCAUGUCCUUCUGGGAAAGAUUCAUCGGUAUGGGAUGGGGUCGCGUCCUAUCAGCUUGAUGGCGGGGUAACGGCCCACCAUGGCUUCGACGGGUAGCCGGCCUGAGAGGGCGACCGGCCACAUUGGGACUGAGAUACGGCCCAGACUCC
rnacentral:rRNA from 1 species